AACUGGAAACUCUGUCUCCAUGUGCUGUUAGUUAGAGCUGCAGUAAGAGGAUGAGUUUAACUGGAAGCUCUGUCUCCAUGUGCUGUGAGUUUGAGCUGCAGUAAGAGGAUGAGUGUAAUUGGAUGCUGUGUCUUCUUGUUUUGUUCACAGGGUCCAGGUAGAAAGAGCAGGGUCACCUGUACCUAGCUGUCUGUCUAUGAAGAGUUAUAAUUCAAUGGAUCGUCCAAUCGAGUUCAGAGGAGAGUUCACAGGUGACCAAAGGGUCCAGGUAGAAAGAGCUGGGCCACCUGUACCCAGCUGUGUGUCUCUGAAGAGUGGCCGUUCAAUGGAUCGUCCAAUCAUGUUAAGAGGAGAGUUCACAGGUGACCAAAGGGUCCAGGUAGAAAGAGUAGGGUCACCUGUACCUAGCUGUCUGUCUAGGAAGAGUGAUCGUUCAAUGGAUCGUCCAAUCAUGUUCAGAGGAGUGUUCACAGGUGAUCAAAGGGUCCAGGUAGAAAGAGCUAGGUCACCUGUACCGAGCUGUGUGUCUCUGAAGAGUGGCCGUUCAAUGGAUCGUCCAAUCAUGUUCAGAGGAGAGUUCAAAGGUGAUCAAAGGUAAUUAAAGAGGUUCAAAUUGACACUACU